rnacentral:misc_RNA from 1 species
UUAAGUUCAGCGGGUAUCCCCGCCUGAUCCGAGGUCAACCUUGCAAAAAGUUGCGUGUCACUUGUGCGGCAGGCCGCCGGGGCGGGCUCCGAGGCGAUUCGCUUCUGCUACGCCCGAAGCCGUCCUGGGACCGCCGAGUUCUUUGAGGCGCGCCCGCGGUCCGCCCCCCGAGGGGGGUGGCCGGCGGGCGGGACGCCCAA